rnacentral:lncRNA from 1 species
UUGUGCUGUGAGAGGACGCAUGCCGUAGCCUUACUACACGGCCGCUACACGCAUCACGCCGAGGAAGGAAAAUAUUGCUGCUGUAAUCUAGCCUAGAAAAUACCAACUUUUGUUCCUGACACAGCGUUUCACUUUCUUCAAUAUGUGUUUGUGUACCGCCAUUCCGUUUUGUGGAGUGAUGGAGGAAGUUUUUCGUCGUCGUGCGUAGAACGUUCGCUGCACACCAACCGAGCCUAACUUCUGGUAACUCGACGAUUUCAUCAUUCCAACCACGGCAAUUUCCCUCCCGGACACAAAACCUGAUACAACUAUCUGCCUCAAAGAAGAAUUACUGACAUUUGAAUUAUAGUUAAUAAAAAAUAUAUUGUUGGUAUUUUGUGAACUAUUAUAAUGCAAAUCAUUUGUAAUUGUUAGAACUUUUUAUCUGUUUGAUAAACCUGUAGACUUAAACUUCUCAUUCAAUUCCUGUACGAAAGAUUUUCGUCGGGUUGCAGGAUUAGUGGUUAAUGUUAAUUAAUUUAGCCUCAAUAUAGGUAUUCUGUUAAUAUUUUGAAAAAUUUACACGUAAUUUGAAGGAGCUGAAUUGUGGCGUUUGGCUGUUAGCUCUUGAAACUGAACUUUUAUCAACCGAACAAGAUAAUUGGUUAUUAACGGAACAAGUAUCGCACGGUAUUUCGUACCAUCACAUCACUGUAAUUUAGGAUGGUAUUUCCAUGGCAAAAUAGGCGACCAUCAAGGGCCUUCACACACCUCACGUUUACUGGUCAAGACAGAAACGUGUCUCCCGUUAGCUGCGAUCUUGCAAGAAUGGCUAGAAUAACUCCAGCGUUGCCGUUGCCCAGGCAUGUUGGUGUACAUCAAGAAAGAAUACUGAGCCGGUCUGAAAUUGAUGUCCUGUCGACGUCUAACGAAACCGGUAAAUGUGAUGAUUCAUUGUCAACAUGCGUAGACCAAUGGAGAGGCAUCACUCAAACAACAAAUUUGGGAACAACGGACGCCGUGGCUUUAGGAAACGUUCCCACUCUCCGGAAACGGCUUAGUCAACAGGAAUCCCUGUCGCAUUCUUCGCCGUCCAAGUUUUUUAAGGUCGAUGCUGGACAAAACUAAUGCGUUUUCCUUCCACAAAUAUUUGAGAGUCUCGUAGUUUAGUCAUUCUCGCAUUUUUGUAAUUUUUUU